GUGAAUCAUCAAAUUUUUGAACGCAAAUUGCGCUUCCUAGUAUUCUGGGAAGUAUGCCUGUUUGAGGGUCAGUAUUAACAACAAAAUCGGCUUGGUUGCGAAUUGUGACGUUUCCGGAGUUUGGGAUAUCUUUAGUUUUUUGGUUCAGGUGUUUAAAAUUGAGCUUUUUUGCGCAUUUUUAGUCGUACAUAAAAUUUUUUUUUAUUCGCCUAUUAUUAUUGCCA
rnacentral:misc_RNA from 1 species